UACGGAGGAUCCGAGCGUUAUCCGGAUUUAUUGGGUUUAAAGGGUGCGUAGGCGGCCUAUUAAGUCAGGGGUGAAAGACGGUGGCUCAACCAUCGCAGUGCCUUUGAUACUGAUGGGCUGGAUUGAACUUGAGGUAGGCGGAAUGUGACAAGUAGCGGUGAAAUGCAUAGAUAUGUCACAGAACACCGAUUGCGAAGGCAGCUUUCUGGACUGUAACUGACGCUGAGGCACGAAAGCGUGGGGAUCAAACAGGAUUAGAUACCCUGGUAGUCCACGCCCUAAACGAUGAAUACUCGAUGUUGGCGAUAUACGGUCAGCGUCAAAGCGAAAGCGUUAAGUAUUCCACCUGGGGAGUACGCCCGCAAGGGUGAAACUCAAAGGAAUUGACGGGGGCCCGCACAAGCGGAGGAGCAUGUGGUUUAAUUCGAUGAUACGCGAGGAACCUUACCCGGGCUUGAAAGUUAGUGAAUGGGACAGAGAUGUACCAGUGAGCAAUCACACGAAACUAGGUGCUGCAUGGCUGUCGUCAGCUCGUGCCGUGAGGUGUUGGGUUAAGUCCCGCAACGAGCGCAACCCCUGUGAACUGUUGCCACGGAACCGAGAGGUUCCAGCACUCUGUUCAGACUGCCCCGCUCUAACGGGGAGGAAGGUGGGGACGACGUCAAGUCAGUAUGGCCCUUACGGCCAGGGCUGCACACGUACUACAAUGCCCAGUACAGAACGAUCCGAGACCGCGAGGUGGAGGAAAUCACUAAAACUGGGCCCAGUUCAGAUUGAAGUCUGCAACUCGACUUCAUGAAGCCGGAAUCGCUAGUAAUGGCGUAUCAGCUACGACGCCGUGAAUACGUUCCCGGGCCU
rnacentral:rRNA from 1 species